AUUGAACGCUGGCGGCAUGCCUUACACAUGCAAGUCGAACGGCAGCACGGGUGCUUGCACCUGGUGGCGAGUGGCGAACGGGUGAGUAAUACAUCGGAAUGUACCUUGUAGUGGGGGAUAGCUCGGCGAAAGCCGGAUUAAUACCGCAUACGCUCUGAGGAGGAAAGCGGGGGACCUUCGGGCCUCGCGCUACAAGAGCAGCCGAUGUCAGAUUAGCUAGUUGGUGGGGUAAAAGCUCACCAAGGCGACGAUCUGUAGCUGGUCUGAGAGGACGACCAGCCACACUGGGACUGAGACACGGCCCAGACUCCUACGGGAGGCAGCAGUGGGGAAUUUUGGACAAUGGGCGAAAGCCUGAUCCAGCAAUGCCGCGUGUGUGAAGAAGGCCUUCGGGUUGUAAAGCACUUUUGUCCGGAAAGAAAUCCUUUGGGUUAAUACCUCGGGGGGAUGACGGUACCGGAAGAAUAAGCACCGGCUAACUACGUGCCAGCAGCCGCGGUAAUACGUAGGGUGCAAGCGUUAAUCGGAAUUACUGGGCGUAAAGCGUGCGCAGGCGGUUUUGUAAGACGGAUGUGAAAUCCCCGGGCUUAACCUGGGAACUGCAUUCGUGACUGCAAGGCUAGAGUAUGGCAGAGGGGGGUAGAAUUCCACGUGUAGCAGUGAAAUGCGUAGAGAUGUGGAGGAAUACCGAUGGCGAAUGCAGCCCCCUGGGGCCAAUACUGACGCUCAUGCAGGAAGCGUGGGGGAGCAAACAGG
rnacentral:rRNA from 1 species